rnacentral:lncRNA from 1 species
CUGAGGUGAGGUACAGUAAUAAGGAGAAGCCCUCCCUCCCUCCCUCUGAUUAGAGACCCCAGACCAGGAUGUGAGCUCCAGAGACUUGAAGGAGACUGAGGUGAGGUACAGUAAUAAGGAGAUGCCCUCCCUCCCUCUGAUUAGAGACCCCAGACCAGGAUGUGAGCUCCAGAGACUUGAAGGAGACUGAGGUGAGGUACAGUAAUAAGGAGAUGCCCUCCCUCCCUCCCUCUGAUUAGAGACCCCAGACCAGGAUGUGAGCUCCAGAGACUUGAAGGAGACUGAGGUGAGGUACAGUAAUAAGGAGUAGCCCUCCCUCCCUCUGAUUAGAGACCCCAGACCAGGAUGUGAGCUCCAGAGACUUGAAGGAGACUGAGGUGAGGUACAGUAAUAAGGAGUAGCCCUCCCUCCCUCCCUCUGAUUAGAGACCCCAGACCAGGAUGUGAGCUCCAGAGACUUGAAGGAGACUGAGGUGAGGUACAGUAAUAAGGAGUAGCCCUCCCUCCCUCCCUCUGAUUAGAGACCCCAGACCAGGAUGUGAGCUCCAGAGACUUGAAGGAGACUGAGGUGAGGUACAGUAAUAAGGAGAAGCCCUCCCUCCCUCCCUCUGAUUAGAGACCCCAGACCAGGAUGUGAGCUCCAGAGACUUGAAGGAGACUGAGGUGAGGUACAGUAAUAAGGAGAUGCCCUCCCUCCCUCCCUCUGAUUAGAGACCCCAGACCAGGAUGUGAGCUCCAGAGACUUGAAGGAGACUGAGGUGAGGUACAGUAAUAAGGAGUAGCCCUCCCUCCCUCCCUCUGAUUAGAGACCCCAGACCAGGAUGUGAGCUCCAGAGACUUGAAGGAGACUGAGGUGAGGUACAGUAAUAAGGAGUAGCCCUCCCUCCCUC